UGGUAACAGUUGUAAGAAUAUUUGAGUG
rnacentral:piRNA from 1 species